UAAUAAUGCAUAGCAAUUAUAAAAAGUCUAUGGGAAUUCGAGCCAAGUCAUUAAAUCGCAGAUGAAAACAGUCGUUUUUUAUUAUUGCCGAUGAAAACACUUUUUUUUUUUGUAAUGAGUAGAUUCGUAAAGUUCUACAUUUGGAUUUUUUCUAAUCUAAUUUAUGUAAAAGAGAGUGCAACAAUCCCUGCCACGGAUUGUUUGUCGCAGUCGGGUAUUGUGUUUCAAAUGGAAGAUUGGGAUAAUUGUACGUUAAAUGAUGGCCAACAGCCGGGCAAGUGUGUACCCCUGGAAGAGUGCCCGGAAGCUCUCAGGAAAUGGGACACAGAACAUAUAUAUCCGAAAACUUGUUAUUUUAUUAAAAACCAACAAAUUGUUUGCUGCAAUUUAACGGAAAGAGACAACGAUCAACAGAAGAAGAAAGACAAGCAAUCAAUUGUAUUUCGGCCUCUCUCUAAGGGAUGUGCAAAUGUGAACCCAAAUGUUCCUGCUCUAGCUAGUCCCACUCUGGUGGCUGAUGCUCCUGCGAUAGGUGUUCCCGCGAUAUCUCAUGGCUUGCCAGUUGGAAUAGAUGAAUUCCCUUUUAUGGCUGUGUUGGGCUGGCCUUUAAACGUUGGCGAUUCAAUAUGGUAUCGAUGCGGUGCAGUUUUAAUAACUCAUCGUUAUGUUUUAACUGCCGCUCAUUGUGCUGAAUUGGGCGGAGCUCCACCCACCGUGGUACGACUUGGCGGCACAAGCCUGACCGAUUCCACGAUUUACGAUGUGAAGAUUAAACGCUUCAUUAAACACCCUGAGUAUAACGCAACUUCCAUAUAUCAUGAUAUUGCCUUAGUUGAAUUGGAAGACGUAAGACACGAUAUAAGUGUAUUUCAAGGUUGCCUUUGGCUUGAAAAUGGUAUACCUGAUAAUAACGUAAUCGCUUUGGGUUAUGGUCAUACGAGCUUUGCCGGCCAAUCUUCAGAUCAGUUACUUAAGGCUUCACUGAUGGUAAUCCCUAACGAGGAAUGCGAAAAAUAUUAUCAAACUGAUAGGGAUGUGGCUUCGUCUGGCCUUGCUGACACACAUCUGUGUGCAGGUGACCCUGAGCAUUCUCGAGACACUUGUCAGGGUGAUUCGGGAGGUCCUCUGGUUAUGGACACGGGCAAAUUUAUCGUUGGUAUAACAUCAUUCGGGUUUGGUUGCGCCGGCGCAGCGCCAUCUAUUUACACACGCGUCUCUUCAUAUAUCGAUUGGAUUGAAGAAGUUAUUUGGCCAGGCUGUUUGGCGCAAACUCAUACCUGCACAUGUAUGAAUCCUAGUUACGUAGAAGUACAUGAAAUAAUCCCUCAAUCGCUAAGUGCCCCAAGAUCGGUUACGGGUACUUUCAGAUUCGGAUUUGAUGUUCACGAACGCAUUUUAAAUAAUGGGGUUCCAAAUACCUCAAAAUGGGUUGCAAAGGGACUAAAACGGCAUUGGCCUGAUUAUGGUUUCAUUUUUAAGGUCCACGGCUGCAUGCAAAGCCGAAGCAUUUCAAAUAUCUGGCGAGUCUUGGAUUAGCGCCCAAGUUACAUAGAAGGAUUUAAAAUACGUCGCAAGAAUUAUUACGAAAAGACUCUGGAUUAAGUUGUUGCUUUUUCGACAUAUUGUUAUAUUUUAAUUGUAACAUUUUAACGUAUAAUGGGUCAAUGCACAAGCACACACUAACGAGCACAUGCAGACAUACAUAUGCAUUAACUGAAAGUUUUAAUUACUCUUGUAGUACAACGAGUAAAGCAAACCGUAUACAAUCCACCCUCGAUAUAUAUACAUACAUGCAUAAGCGCACAAUUGAAUCCAAGCAAACGGCUUUUGUGUGUGCUUAUUGAUGAUCGACAAUAACAAGAGAAAUGCAAAGAAAAAAGAAAAAUGAAAAAAAAAAAAAAUGAAUUGAAAAUAAAUAAAAGUGAAAAGCUAUUGACCCACGGUUAAGUUCAGAAAAUGGGCAAGCAUAUAUAUAUGUAUAAGUAUAUAUAUAUUCGAAUUAAGGUAUAUAUAAGUAUAUAUAUAUACACAAAGGCAACCCUGCUUUACUGGCCGAUUAAAUAACGGAUUUUUUCUUCUGAUGUUGUGUUAAAUCAAAUGAAAAAUUUUUACAUUUCACGAGUUAUUGUUGUUUUCCUGUUUUUUUUUUUUUUUUGAAAUUUCGAUUUUUUAUGAAUAAUGUCAUAAAUUGAACGACAACGGCAACAGCAGUAGCAACAACAACGGCAAGACCACGGAUAACAACAACAACAAGAAGAAGAGAAACAAGGGCGACAAAAAUCAAGAGCAAUCACGGCAGCAAGAGCAACAGCAACAAGCGCGAGAGUGUCAAGAGAACAACAGCAACAAUACGAACAGCAACAAUACAAACAACAACAAUGAUAAUAUAAUAAUAAUAAUAAUAGUAAUAAUAAGAGUAAGAAGAACUCUGGCAACGCACUAAACUGGAGAAAAGUGGAGAAAAUUAAUUUUUUAUAAUUAACUUGUCAUAAUUAUUAUGAUACAUUAAUAUUUAACGAUCUAAUUACAAUGUGUGCAUGCGAUAAACAUAUAAAACAAAAUGGAAGAAAAGGAAAAAAAUUUAUUAAAUUAUUUUCCAUUAUUUUCUAUUUUUAUUAUUUGUGUCAUAGAUUUUAUAAGCGGACAGAAUAGAUUGGCGCUUAUUUUGUUAUCUAAAUCAAUGAGAUUAAAAAUUCUAUUUGUGUUUGUUGACAAAAUGCAUUUCGGCGAAAAUAUUUAUGUAACUCUGAUAAAGGAAAUAAAAACAAAACAAAAAUAACACAAAAAAG